rnacentral:tRNA from 3 species
CGCGGGGUGGAGCAGCCUGGUAGCUCGUCGGGCUCAUAACCCGGAGGUCGCAGGUUCAAAUCCUGCCCCCGCUACCA